rfam:Triticum aestivum genome assembly, contig: Triticum_aestivum_CS42_TGACv1_scaffold_342769_4DL
CCAGGUCGAAUGAUGAUCACAAGUUCAUAGUUCAUAUGAUCAAAUCGUGAUUACUUGAACAAAAAAUAGUCUUUUGCUCCUAUCUGACGACCUUU